AGCAUUUACUAAAUGCUGUAAAGAAACUGGUCUUCUGAUGGUAGUGAAGUGUCGGAAAGAGAACACAGCACUGAAGGAUUGUCUGGUUUCUUACUAUCAUGAUCCAGCUUUCUAUGAAGAAUGCAAAGCAGAAUAUUUGAAGGAAAGAGAAGAAUACAGAGCAACUGGAAUUAAGAA